rnacentral:pre_miRNA from 1 species
AGCCUUCUGAAUCUGUGCCUAGAUUUCAUCAGACACCAAACCACCAGGACUGAUGAGACUCCCGAUGCUAAUGAAGAG